ensembl:lncRNA
GCCAACUCUCAUCAGGACUUUGACGAUCGGCGUCGGCCUUGGGAGAGGCAGAAGGACCGCGACGACAGGGACUUCCGCAGUGGAAAUGAAUGACAACCGGCACAGGGAGCGAGACCGCGAACGAGGGCGAGAUCGGAAUCGGGAGCGAGAGAGAGACAGAGAAUGGGAUAACGAUAAGGAAAGAGACAGGGAGCGCGGCGGCUGGGCGCCUCCUACUUCGCAACCUUCUCCUCCCUCUUCCCAGACCAUCCCAACCACUGCUCCCUCUACCCACACCUCUGCUAAACCUGCCUCCGUCUCAGCCCGAGUCGCAUCCUAAACCUGUCCUGCACGAGCCGAGACAAGCCGAACCACAGCCGGAAGCGAAGCCACCCCUGCAGCCGCAGCCUGACAGAGAGAGUGCAGGCGGCCAGGACAACAAAGGCACCUUUAGUGACAGUGUUCACGACCUGGACUCUAAACCCGAAACCGACUCGGAACCCACAGCCGAGCCGUCUCGCCCCUCCCCCGCCCGCUCCCACAGCCAAGCCCCUAAACGAUACGCAAGCCCCGGAAGUUUCCGCUUCCCCGCUCGUGGCUGCAGGCGGCGGCGGCGGACAGACCGCGCCGAAGGAAGAAGCCGAGACUGGGACUGAGCCUGAGCUAGUGAAAACGGACACUGAGGAAACAUAAUCGUCACUCAGUAGCCGUUUUCUUUCCGCUUGCUCCUGGAUUGCGUGCUCCUCCCUCAGAGUGACCUUUGUCUCCUGUCGGUCCGAGUGAAUUGGUUCCCGGGGUCGGGGUUCGCCGAUUAAUCCGCGUCUCUAACAGGAAGUGAUUCCGAGAACAGCUGCUACUAAACAACACGUCGUUGUGAUGGAACCCGGAGACUCAUGAACUUAACCGUAAGUGGUUUUUGGGUUGAACGUGGA